rnacentral:tRNA from 1 species
UGGCACAGUGGUUAAGUGCUUGGCUGCUAACCAAAGGGUUGGUGGUUCGAAUCCACC